UACAGAGGUCUCAAGCGUUGUUCGGAUUCAUUGGGCGUAAAGGGUGUGUAGGUGGCGCGCUAAGUCGGGGUGUGAAAUUUCGGAGCUUAACUCCGAAACUGCAUUCGAUACUGGCGUGCUUGAGCACAGUAGAGGCAGGUGGAAUUCCCGGUGUAGCGGUGGAAUGCGUAGAGAUCGGGAAGAACAUCAGUGGCGAAGGCGGCCUGCUGGGCUGUUGCUGACGCUGAGGCGCGACAGCGUGGGGGAGCAAACAGG
rnacentral:rRNA from 1 species